rnacentral:rRNA from 1 species
UACGGGGGGAGCAAGCGUUGUUCGGAUUUACUGGGCGUAAAGGGCGCGUAGGCGGCCACCGCAAGUCAGUUGUGAAAGCUCUGGGCUUAACCCAGAAAGGUCAGCUGAUACUGCGGGGCUAGAGUGCAGAAGGGGCAACUGGAAUUCUCGGUGUAGCGGUGAAAUGCGUAGAUAUCGGGAGGAACACCAGUGGCGAAGGCGACUUCCUGGCCUGUUCUUGACGCUGAGGCGCGAAAGCUAGGGGAGCAAAUGGG